CACGUAGUUAGCCGGGGCUUCUUAGUCAGGUACCGUCAUUUUCUUCCCUGCUGAUAGAGCUUUACAUACCGAAAUACUUCAUCACUCACGCGGCGUCGCUGCAUCAGGGUUUCCCCCAUUGUGCAAUAUUCCCCACUGCUGCCUCCCGUAGGAGUCUGGGCCGUGUCUCAGUCCCAAUGUGGCCGGUCACCCUCUCAGGUCGGCUACUGAUCGUCGGCUUGGUGGGCCGUUACCCCGCCAACUACCUAAUCAGACGCGGGCCCAUCUUACACCACCGGAGUUUUUACCACCAGGCCAUGCAGCCCUGUGGUCUUAUGCGGUAUUAGCAGUCAUUUCUAACUGUUAUCCCCCUGUGUAAGGCAGGUUGCCCACGCGUUACUCACCCGUCCGCCGCUCAGUCACAUAAAGCUUCAUCCGAAGAAUCCAUUUUAAGUGCUUCGCUCGACUUGCAUGUGUUAGGCACGCCGCCAGCGUUCAUCCUGAGCCAGGAUCAAACUCU
rnacentral:rRNA from 1 species